GGGUGGGGUGUGUGUUGGAAGGUGGGGAGGAAAUAAUUAUUGUGGAAUUCCAUUCGUGGUACUAGUAGGGAAGUCAUUUUCCUUAUUUUAAGGAACUUGUUUAAAAUUUUGAACAACCAAACAUGCGACAAUUGGAAAGCAUUUUCUGGAAAAUAAUUUUCUGUACCAAACACACCCUUAGGGUUCGUUUGGUUUGGAGACAAGUUAUGCAGGUGGAUGAGUAUAAUUGACGGCUUGAAAGAGGCAAUGAUGAUUUUUUAAAAUCUUUUAUUCCCUCAUGAGCUCACUAGCAGGGAUUAUCCGACCUGUAUCUUUGCGGAGCUUGCCCCCAGAGUCUGGUGGUUCUUGCAGCCAUGGCGUUGUUGGAAUCUUUUGCUGAGCUUAAACAAAGCAAAAGCUCAGAAGUGAAAGAAUGAGACUACAGGGAGUUUAGGAUUUCUGUUGAAAGGGUGGUUGCCUCUCUCUGCAUUUGCCAAUGAUUUCUCCAUUAGUGUAAGAAUCCAAACAUCCCUUUUAUCAAUCUUACCGAGGAAGUACUAUUAAGGGUUUCAUACCCUUCCAUGCUAACUAUGCUAAUACCAUUCAUUUGUUUUUUCAUAUGCUUCCGCUGGACUGUUGAAUGUUGUCGGUGGUGGCAGUGGAAGUGGUGAGUAUAUUCAAAUGGCUUGAAAGAGAUGAUAAGAGGCGAUGAUGAUUUUGUCAAAUUACUAUCCUCUUUUGAGCUAAUUAAUUGUGCAUUUGAGUAUCUGACCCGUAUCUUGGCAGGGCAUACUCCCAGAUUUUCUGAUUGUUUUUGCAGCCAUGGCAUUGUCGGACUCUUGUUUUGCCCCAGCUUAAUACAGCUCUGAGCCCCAUUUUCUCUAUGUCAGUCUGGAAAGUGUUCUAUAUAUAGGGUUUGUUUGGUUAGAGACUGAUUUGAGUUCUGCAGAUGAUGGUGAGUAUAAUUGAUGGCUUGAAAGAGGCGAUGAUGAUUUUUUAAAUCUUUUAUACCUUUGUGAGCUUAUCAUUCGGACAUUUGAGAUUAUCCUAUCCAUAUCUUGGCGGGGCAUGCCCCAGAGUUUCUCGUGGUUAUUGCAGCCUACUAGUUUGAGAUGAGAUGUAGUUGUUGAUGUUGUCUUGGGUAAUGGAAGGAUUUGACCUCGUGACUUGCUAAUUCUCAAGUUGAUUUCUCUCCUUGUCCAUUCAUGGAGCUCAAAAACCCUUAUAUUUAUUCACUGAUUUUUACCAUGGUGUUCUAGUAGUGGAUACAGCUUUAUGACCGGAUAUAGAUUUGGAAUGGACUUUUGAUAGGCAAAAAUUAAUGUGCAAUUGGUUGGGGGUGCAAAAUGCAAAGAACUCUAAAAAUAGUGAAAAUCUCAUUAGUUUGAGUCAGAGGCUGCAGUGAAAGCAGAGAACGGUGGGGAGUUUCAAUGAUUUUGCCACUGCCAUUCUUGGCCUCUGAUGAUCAUUCAUGAAAAAACUUUAUGAAUGCAAAGCCACCCUUUGGUGAAAAUAUAUAUUACCUCUCAUUUUUCUUUUCUUCCUACUCCCUCUGGUCCAUUUAAUCUGCAAUGAGCAUGUGAAGAUUUUGUCUUAUGUUUAAUCAGACAUUGUUAUCUUGAGCUGAAAAAACUAUAUCUUUGCGUGACAGCUCAGAUAGGUCUGUGAGAUAUUGGAGAAAAAUCCUUUUUCUUGGUCCUUCUGUUUCAUUAGGCUAGCUGAUGCCCGCAGCCAUGUCAGUUUUGGAAGCAUUUGGGUUUUGUCUUAGUAAAGGUGAAUCUGAGCCUACCUGAUUUCAUUGAUUUUAUUAAAAGUAUGUGGUUCUUGUGACAAUGCAGGAAUUCCUAAGGGAGUUUGCUAUGCUUCUUUGGGAGUUCCAUUGGCAAUGAAAACCCUUUGGUUCUAUUGUCAUCGCCAGCCCUUGCACCAGGAAUUGCUGAUCUCAUGCAUUUUCUUUUUCUUUUUGUUUAUUGCUUCCCCUCGGAGUAUUUAGUGCUUCUGGUGGCGGUGAGUAUAAUUAACAUCUUAAAAGAGGCGAGUGAUGAUUUUAUCAAUCUUUAUUCCCUUGAACUUAUUAAUCUGGCAUUUGAGAUUAUUUGAUCAGUAUCAUGAUGGGGCAUGCUGCCAGGUCUCCCUUGGUGGUUUUGCAGCCAUGGCGGCACCAGAAUCUCCUUUUGCCCGAGCUAUAACAUAGAUCUGAACCUCAAUUUGUUCAAAAAUGGAAAUAUUUAUGCUGAUCUUGGAACUCCUGCCAAAUUCUCGGCAGCAGAAGUUACUCUGGUCCAAGGAAAAAAAAACAUGCUUUGGUUGAUCUAUUUAUCUGUUAACUCUUUGACCGAGGUGACCCUCUCUGUCAUUCUUUGCUGUCAAUGAUAACUUAUAUAAAAAAAUUCAAUUAUAGAACCACUCUUAUGGUUAAAAUGCACAUGACCUCCAUACUUUUCUUCCUCUCUUACUCCUUCAGUUCCAUUUAUAAACAAUGGGGUGGUGAAGAAUUUGGUUUCUGUAAAGUUGAAUCAGACAUAAUCUUCUCCUGAGAUGAAAAAACUGUAUCUUGGUGUGGCAGCUCAGAUGGGCUGUGAGAAAUUGGUGGAACUUUUCUUUUUUGGCGUUUCUUAUCUGUCUCAUAAGGCUUACUGAUGCGUGCAGCGAUGACAUGCUUUUGUUUUUUUGUCUGAGAGAAGGCAAAUCUGUUUCCCUUUACCUUGAUUGUGCUAAAAAGAAUGAGGCCAUUACUGAUGCUUGCAGCCUUCAUUUUUGGUGGUUGUGCUGUUCCUCUGAAAUUUGAUUGUCUAUUUACACUUUUGUUCUUUUUUGAUCAACGAGCCUUGCAUCAGGAAAUGAUAAUGAUGACGAUCAUAAAAAUCAGUCCUCGGAGGCCAUGUGCAUCUUAAUGAUGGCAUUGACUAUAUGAACCUUUAUGUCAUUCUUCUCUAAAAUCCUGAACUUAGUGAAUGAAGCUGUGGUAAUCUUAUCCAGCAAGCUUGAAUUUUGAAGUCAGAGACAUUUGAGCUGAUUUUUAUAUUUACUUGGCAAAUUUUGGGGGAACUUUUGAGUCGGUUUUAUUUCUCUCUCAUAAAGCUUCUGCUAUUUGCAGCUUUGUCAGAUUAGCCUUUUUCUGACAGUUUAGACAAAUCCAUGCCUCAUUUCUGUGCAACUCUCCGUUCCUCCUACAAUCCGGUAGAUUCUUUUUUCCUGGUCCCGAGGUAUCUGCAUUUUACAUAUUUAUCUCCCUCUUAUUACGAGACCAAAAAUAUAUGAAUCUGGAUCUGCAUUAACCAUUCAGUUCCAUUUGUCCCAUCUCAUCCAAUGUUGAAUAUUUCCGGGACUUUUCUAACACUAGAAGUUCCCUGCAUUUUUAACUGACUCCAUAGGCACUGGACUUAAUGCAAGGGUACUAACGUGACUAAGUCUUUAUCUCUGUUUUUCAAUUGAAGUGCAUGUGUUUAUCCCCUAAUUUGAUGCCCUUUUCUAUAUCUUGAUAGUCCAAAAAUUCCGAGGCUAUGAAGAUUAUCUUAAAAAAGACUGAAAAACAUUUGAGUUAAUUCCAAGGCCUGGCUUGGCAAAGACAACCUUGAAGGUCUGUGAAGGAGGAUGAGAAAUAAUAAGUUUCUUGUAGUCCCUUCUCACGAGGCAACCAAUCUUUGCAGCCAUGGCUGUUUUAGCUCUGCGCUUUGAUUAAAUAGGCGAAAAUCUGAGUCUCCUUACCUCAGUUUAACUUACGUUUCAUGAUUUGAUCACUGAAACAGUAUAUGUUGGGAGCUUUCUUGAAUUUGAUCUAAAAAUUAAGUUAUUGCUUUUCAGUGUUAAACUGAUUUUAUUUUUUUCAAAGAUGUGGUGGGAUAAUUCGGUUUUCAUGAAAAGAGUGGCAAACAAUGGCAUGGUCUCGAGUUUUGAUGCCUUCAUGUCUCCACUAAUUCAUUUCUGAAAUUUGAUGACUGGUCCCAAACAAGAGUUGAUUGCAAACACAGGUGACGGUGAAUGUUGAUAGUAAAGUAAAACUACUUUUAGUUUCAAUUGAGAAGUCUAUCUAAAGUAUGAUCAGUAAUAAACAUGGCAUAUUGGUCUUUCUUUUUCAUUUUCAGUUACCCUACUGUUAAGCAGUACUAACUUCUAUACAUCAUGAGUAUAUUUCUUAUAAAGAAGCCCUCAUAUUGGCUAUGCAUGGUUCUUCUGUAUUGUUCUAGCACUCUUUUGUAAGUUGGAAUGUCUUCAAGUCUUAAUAUCACGGGACUUCUACUUGACAUGCUCAAAGCCCCUUGUUGCAAGGUCUUCAGCAUCUUGAAGACAAGAAGUUACAGGUAUUAGUACUACCUGCUGUUAUGAUAAAUUGUUAGGUGAAGGAUGAAGCUAGAUUCUAGUAUGCCUAAGUAUUAAAAUGCUGAACUUUUGCCUUAGAAUUCUAAGAGGUCAAUCUUUCUCACGCUCUUGCUAGCAGUGCCUUGAUUCUUCACUAAUAAUCACUGGACAUUUAGCUGCAGCAGGUGUAAAAUAGGGAGGGAGGGGUAUUGAGAAUUAGUAUUAUUUUAAUUUCGUUGUAUUAGAAUAUUUGAUGUUUAGACUUCUCUUUUUGCAUUGUUCUGUAGCAUAUGAUAUUUGGAACUGUUCUUCUCUAUUUUUGGAAUAGCCUCGGUCAAGCCUAACAGCAUCAAGGAAGCAUGUGAAAGCUGGUGUUCAUGGGAAGUUGGAAAAUCCAUCACAAAGGUUUGGGAAAUGGUACCUGCUGCUAUAUUUUGGUGCAUCUGGAAUGAAUGGAAUCGUAGAUGUUUUGAUGAGAUUUCAACACCUACACAUGUACUCAAAGCAAAAUGCUUACUGUUUUUGUUUAGUUGGCUCCAACAGGCCCUUGUAAUUCUUGCUUGCUUCUUCUGGAUGCCUUUAAUGAAUUACCCUUGCUUCAUCAAAAAAGUAUUGCAGGUCAAACCGAAAAUCCCCAAGAAAUAUUCUUCUUUUUUGAUCUGAGUUGCUCAUCCUGAUGCUGUAGUUUUUUUGGAGGAGAUCAGCUGAAGACUAUAGCUGAGUGCAAACUACAUCUUCUUGGCACUCCAUUGGAGAUAAAGAGAAGGAACACUUACCAUGGACCAUGGUCUGCUGUGGCUGUAAAAAGUACAUCCUCUUUACCGGGGAAAAGCUCAAAAGGCAGAGAUGAGGUUACAGAGACUCAGAGAGUUCAGGAUUUUUGUUGAAAUGGGUGGUUGCCUUCUCUGCAUUAGCCUAUGAUUUCUCCAUUACUGUCAGAAGGCCAACAACCCUUUCUUUGCUCUUUUUGAUUAAGGAGCGGUCUCAAAAAUAUCUAUCUGUGGCAUAUACAGCCAAACCUCUAUAUAACAGUCAAUACUCUCUAACAACAUUUUGCUAUAGCAGCAACCUCUAUAUAACAGUCAAUACUCUCUAACAACAUUUUGCUAUAGCAGCUAAAAAUUGUUCGGAUAAGUGACUGUUGUAGAGAGAUUAGACUGUAUUCCUUUUCAGAGAGAGUAUCAAUCAAUAUGCAUUUGGAGUUUGGACAUAUUUGUGUUGAAACUUAAAGGGGUUUUCCUGGCCUUGCAUGAUGUAUGCUAAAACCAUGUUUAUUUGUCCGUCUUUCUUUCUUUCUUUUAUGCUAUCGCCUCUUUGCUGGAGCAUUUAAUGCUGCCAACGGUUGUGACUGAGUAUAAUCGGCAGUUAAAAGAGGCAGAGAUGAAUUUUGUGAUCUAUUCAUUCCCUUUUGAGCAUAUUAAUUGGGCAUUUGAGGUUCUCCGACCCAUAUCUUGGUGGGAUAUGAUCGUAGAUUUUCCUGGUGGUAUUUGCAGCCAUGACAUUGUCGGAUCUCUUUUCUCCUGAGCUGUAACACAGAUACGAGCCUCAAUUUCUGGGAAAAUGGAAAUAUUUGACCCGAUUUUGGAACUCCAGCAAAUUCUCAGCUGCUGAUUGCUCAGUUACGGUGUCUUUACAGGCAAAAAGCUCAGAAGGGAGAGAAUGAGGCUAUACAGAGUUACAGUAAUGGAGAAAUCCUAGGCUAAUACAGAGAGAGGCAUAUACAGUGAUAUAUCUAUUACAGGCAUCCUCCAUAAUAACAAUUCGCCAUAGCUGCUAAGAAAUAUCUAGAAAAAUGUCGUCGUUAUAGAGAAGUUUGACUGUAUUCCCUUUCAGAGGGAGUAAAUUAGUAUGCAUUUGGAGUUUGGACAAUAUUUGUAUAUUGUUCUGUUCUUUGUUGUUAAUUCUCCCUUAGUUAAUAGAGUGUUAUUUUGAGGCUUGA